rnacentral:rRNA from 1 species
UACGUAGGGUGCAGGCGUUAAUCGGAAUUACUGGGCGUAAAGCGUGCGCAGGCGGUUUGCUAAGACAGGUGUGAAAUCCCCGGGCUUAACCUGGGAACUGCGCUUGUAACUGGCAAGCUAGAGUGUGGCAGAGGGGGGUGGAAUUCCACGUGUAGCAGUGAAAUGCGUAGAGAUGUGGAGGAACACCGGUGGCGAAGGCGGAUCUCUGGGCCUUACCUGACGCUCAGGCGCGAAAGCUAGGGGAGCGAACAGG